AACCUACCUAUAAGACUGGGACAACUUCGGGAAACCGGAGCUAAUACCAGAUAAUAUGUUGAACCGCAUGGUUCAAUAGUGAAAGAUGGUUUUGCUAUCACUUAUAGAUGGACCCGCGCCGUAUUAGCUAGUUGGUGAGGUAACGGCUCACCAAGGCAACGAUACGUAGCCGACCUGAGAGGGUGAUCGGCCACACUGGAACUGAGACACGGUCCAG
rnacentral:rRNA from 1 species